CCUCGUACUACCCUCUCUCUCUCUCUCUGCAAAGUUCCCCUCUUCCUCUCAUUCUCCCCAUGGUUGGAUAAUUCAAAUCCAAAACCCUAAUCCCCAAUCCCCUGCAAUGCAGGGCCCACCGUCGGUGGACCACAAGCUCUGCGGCUUCUUCUGCACCGUUCUUUCCGUAGAGACCCCCGACGCCUCCAUAACUCUCUCUCCCGGAAACCAAUGCUCUCUCUUCUCCUCCGGCUCGGAUGUCGUCGGCUUCCGUACCGAAUCCGGCGUCCUCCUCUUGCCAAUUGCGGCCUGCAAUAAUCGAACGGCGGAGAUUGAUCCGGAAGAGGCUGUUGCUGGAGAGACGAAGGGCCUUCCUGGGGAAUGCCGCAGCGGUUCUUCGUCACGGAAGAGAAGGCGGGGGGCGGUGCCUGGGCAGGGGAGUUUGAGUGUGGUAGAUCAGGUGCAUGCAUUGGUGGGCCACAAGUGCUUGGAGAUUGUUGCAUGUGUGGUUAGGGUUUCGUUGAGGGCGGAUGGUGAUGAUGGAGGUGGGUCUGCGAGGGCAGUGGUGAUGGUUGAUGUGUAUUUACCGAUUGCGGCGUGGUCAGGUUGGCAGUUUCCGAAAUCAAGGAUAGCAGCUGCUUCUUUGUUUACGCAUUUGAGUUGUAACUGGGACAAGAGGAAUUCAUUGCUUGCUUGUGAUCACAAUCAUUGCAAAUAUGGUCCUGGAGAUGAGUCAAUGUGGAAUCACUCGGACUGUCAUGUUCUUGGCUGUAAAAUGCAUUCAAGUGUAUCUGGUUCUUCUAAAAGAAGGCUAUUUGAGCUUCACGAAAUUUUUAAGAGUUUACCUGCUGUUUGGAAGGAGGAACAAUUAUAUUCCACAAAAGUAAAACCUGCAAAUGCUUCUCUUAGUUCUGGCAUAUGGGAUGUAUCUGAUGAUGUUUUGGUUAGUGUCCUGACCUCUCUUGGCCCUAAGGACCUUGUUAGGGUUGCAUCCACUUGCCGUCAUCUGAGGUCGUUGGCUGUAUCAAUCAUGCCAUGCAUGAAACUGAAACUUUUCCCUCAUCAGCAGGCAGCUGUUGAGUGGAUGUUACAAAGAGAACGCAACGUGGAGCUUCUGCCACAUCCUCUGUAUUUGGAUUUCUCAACUGAGGAUGGUUUCCAUUUUUAUAUAAAUGCCUUGUCUGGGGAAAUAUUAACUGGAGUGGCUCCCACUGUUAUGGAUUUCCGUGGAGGAAUGUUUUGUGAUGAGCCAGGCCUAGGAAAGACCAUAACUGCACUAUCACUUAUUCUGAAGACACAAGGAACACUGGCGGAUCCACCACAAGGAGCAGAAGUCAUAUGGUGUAUGCAUAAUCCCGACCAAAAAUGUGGAUACUAUGAACUUAAUUCUGAGAACUCUACCCCUGAUAAAUUCAUGUCGCCGUGGAAAAGAUUCAUGGGUCAGAAUGCACGAAGGGGAAGGAUUUGUCCUGAUAAGUUCUCACCAGAAUUUAGUUCUGUGGGGAACCCAAAAUCAUCCUCAUCAUCAAAACGGGCAAGAUUAGCAGGUUCUGAAGCAUGUGCGCGAUCUGCAGAUUCCUCCUGCAGUAAAUUAGGCGUAAAGCCCGCAACACGUCUACUUCGAUGCACCAGGAGUUUGAGUCGUGUGAAAAGAAACCUUUUUGAUUCGUUUGAUGGAAAUUCUGCCCGUGUCAACAAGGUCAGGAAAAAUUCUAUUGGCAGGAGACGCAUUUCAUAUGGUUCGGCAGGUGAGUCUUUGGCAAUGGAAUUCAAGAUUCCAGCAAGCUUGACCAAUAGUUACAGGAAGCCUAAGAAGGUAGAUACUGGAUGCUCUGAAAUCAAUGAAACCUGGGUUCAGUGUGAUGCUUGUAGCAAAUGGCGGAAGCUUUCUGAGAGAGGUAUACCUGAUAUUACAGGAGCAUGGUUCUGCAGUAUGAACAGUGAUAGCUUCCGCCAAAGCUGUGCCAUUCCAGAGGAGUCUUGGGACCACAGGCGGUCAAUAACAUACUUACCAGGAUUUUACACCAAAGGAACCACCCCAGCAAGGGAACAAAAUGUAUCAUUCUUCACAAAUGUGCUUAAGGAGCAUUGUACACUAAUAGAUUAUGAAACAAAGAAGGCAUUGACUUGGUUGGCUAACCUUUCAGAUGAUAGACUUGUUGAUAUGGAAACAAUUGGUCUAAGGCGUCCAGUUGUAGAUACACAAAUUGUUUCAGGAAAAGACGAAGAUGAAUACCAUAAAAUAUUUCAAGCAUUUGGCCUCGUAGGAAGGGUUGAAAGGGGUACUAGUAGGUGGUAUUAUCCGCGCAACCUUGACAAUCUGGCAUUUGAUUUAGCUGCACUGAGAGUUGCUCUAACUAAGCCAUUAGACUCACAUAGGUUAUAUUUGUCAAGAGCAACUCUUAUUGUGGUCCCUGCAAAUUUAGUUGAUCACUGGAAAACUCAGAUAAGGAAGCAUGUCCGUCCUGGGCAGCUGCGUGUUUAUUUCUGGACUGAUCAGAAAAAACUACGUGCCCACAAUCUUGCAUGGGACUAUGACAUUGUCAUUACCACCUUCAACCGUUUAAGUGCUGAAUGGGGCCCCCGUAAGAGGAGUGUGUUGAUGCAAGUGCACUGGCUAAGGGUAAUGUUAGAUGAGGGGCACACACUUGGUUCGAGUCUCAAUUUGACAAACAAAUUGCAGAUAGCUGUGUCAUUGGUGGCUUCAAAUCGUUGGGUACUAACUGGAACGCCAACCCCAAACACACCAACCAGCCAAGUGGCUCAUCUUCAACCCAUGCUGAAGUUUCUUCAUGAGGAAGUCUACGGACAGGAUCAGAAAUCAUGGGAAGCUGGCAUCCUUAGACCAUUCGAAGCAGAGACGGAAGAGGGACGGUCACGUCUCCUACAGCUACUAAAGAGGUGCAUGAUCAGUGCAAGAAAAGUAGAUCUGCAAACCAUUCCGCCCUGCAUCAAGAAAGUGACGGCUGUUGAUUUCACUGAGGAACAUGCUAGGAGUUAUAAUGAACUGGUUGUGACUGUUCGCCGCAAUAUUCUAAUGGCUGAUUGGAACGAUCCUUCUCAUGUUGAAUCUCUUCUGAACCCAAAACAAUGGAAGCUUCGAAGUAACACAAUUAGGAAUGUUAGGCUAUCAUGCUGUGUGGCUGGACACAUUAAAGUAACAGAUGCUGGUCAGGAUAUUCAGGAAACAAUGGAUAUACUUGUGGAGCAAGGUCUGGAUUCUCUUUCAGAAGAGUAUGCUUUUAUAAAAUAUUCUCUCCUGAAUGGAGGGGACUGUUUCAGGUGCAAAGAAUGGUGCCGUUUACCUGUUAUCACACCAUGUAGGCAUCUUCUAUGCCUUGAUUGUGUUGCUCUAGACAGCGAGAGAUGUACAUUUCCUGGCUGUGGAAACCCUUACGAGAUGCAAAGUCCUGAGAUAUUAACGCGUCCAGAAAAUCCUAAUCCAAAAUGGCCUGUUCCCAAAGAUCUGAUUGAGUUGCAACCUUCAUAUAAGCAGGAUGACUGGGAUCCUGAUUGGCAGUCAACAUCAAGCAGCAAAGUUGCUUACCUGGUGGAAAGGCUGAAGGCCUUGCAAGAUGUGAAUAGAAAUAUGGGUUACCGUAUGGAUGAAAAUGAUGACGUCAAUCUUUUCAGUGAUGUGUUUUUGUCUAUGCAUAAACGUCAAUGGAAUAAGUUAAUACAUCAUAUUGCCAGCACUGGGUCACAUGAUAAGUCCCAUAAGGCACUGCCUGAGAAAGUGAUUAUAUUUUCUCAGUUUCUUGAGCAUAUACAUGUCAUUGAACAGCAGUUAACUGGUGCUGGAAUCAAAUACGCUGGAAUGUACAGUCCAAUGCCUUCUAGUAACAAGAUGAAAUCUUUGAUGAUCUUCCAACACGAUGUGAAUUGCAUGGCCCUUCUAAUGGAUGGGAGUGCAGCUUUAGGUCUCGAUUUGAGCUUUGUUACUCAUGUAUUUUUGAUGGAACCUAUCUGGGAUAGAAGCAUGGAGGAACAAGUAAUCAGUCGUGCUCAUCGUAUGGGUGCUACUCGUCCUGUUCAUGUGGAAACUUUGGCAAUGCGGGGUACAAUUGAAGAGCAAAUGUUGGAAUUUUUACAGGAUGCUGAUGAAUAUAGAAGAACCUUAAAACAAGGUGUUUGUAAGUCUGAUCGUGAAGGGGCACGUACUCACCGUACGUUGCAUGAUUUUGCUGAAAGCAAUUACUUGGCUCGGCUUAGCUUUGUACGGACAAAAGGUUAAUGUAUGAAGGAUAUCAUGUGUCACUUAAAAGCUUUAGGGAUGUUGCUAACAUCCCCAUGGAGACAUGCAUGCCCACAGAUGCGCGCGCACACGAGAGAUGCUCUGAAAGGUCUUUCACCUGCUUACAAGGAAUCUGAUUGUCCUUGUAAAUAUUACUUGGUCUCUCUGCCAUUUUGUACCACUACAUUGUUUUCCGUCGAUUUGUGUGGUUGGCUCGGCUUGAAACUGAGUAUCACCGAAAGGGAAAGCAGGAAUCCAUUUUUGGAAGGCCAUUGAAAAACUGAUCCAUUCAUUGCGUAUCUGAGAAACGCAUUUCAAUUUCAUAUGAAAUACAGAUUCAUUGGAGAUUGUAUUUACUUGCAACGGACACUUUUUUUUCACUCAUUUUCAUUGCUUAGUGGCCGAUGCUAAUCCGUGUUGUUUUA